AUUGAACGCUGGCGGAAUGCUUUACACAUGCAAGUCGAACGGUAGAGGGGGCAACCCCUCGAGAGUGGCGAACGGGUGAGUAAUAUAUCGGAACGUGCCCAGUCGUGGGGGAUAACGUAGCGAAAGUUACGCUAAUACCGCAUACGAUCUAAGGAUGAAAGCGGGGGAUCGCAAGACCUCGCGCGAUUGGAGCGGCCGAUAUCAGAUUAGGUAGUUGGUGGGGUAAAGGCUCACCAAGCCAACGAUCUGUAGCUGGUCUGAGAGGACGACCAGCCACACUGGAACUGAGACACGGUCCAGACUCCUACGGGAGGCAGCAGUGGGGAAUUUUGGACAAUGGACGCAAGUCUGGUCCAGCCAUUCCGCGUGCGGGAUGAAGGCCCUCGGGUUGUAAACUGCUUUUGUACGGAACGAAAAGGUCUCUCUUAAUACGGGGGACUCAUGACGGUACCGUAAGAAUAAGCACCGGCUAACUACGUGCCAGCAGCCGCCGUAA
rnacentral:rRNA from 1 species